rnacentral:lncRNA from 1 species
UAAGUUGCUCACAUUAUAGUCAGAAGAAGAAAAUCUGUCUCUUUUUAAAAGUUUCUUUAAAAUGAGCUGAUCUCUACCUUCUGAAUUUAGUGCUGCCAUUAAAUCUGACCAUGCCUCAUUCUGUGUGCCUGUAAACCAGAGAGGAUGGUGCCACCCCCAUCUGUGGUUUCUAAAUUAUAUCCUGAGGACUCCUUUUUCAUGUUUAAAAGCAUGAAAGAGAGGCUUCAGAUAUGGGUGAGUGGGAAAAGGGGUUUGACAUCAAGCCCGAGUCCCUGGGUUCGAUCCCCAGGACCCACAUCACGGAAAGAAAGAGGUGACCCCUGAAAGUUUUGUUCUGACCUCCACAUUUAUUCCAUGGCACAUGCAUACCCCCAUAAAUAAAUAUAAUUAAAAAUUAUGUGUGGAAGAAGCAAAGGUGUUGGUGUGUGGCCGUAACCCCAGCAUGUGGAGCCUGAGGCAGGAGAAUGUCUCUGAAUUCAAGGCCAGGUUGGGCUACAGAGUAAUAUCCUGUCUCAAAAUAAAUAAGUAAAUAAGAACAGUUUUUUUAAAGUGUGGGAAAACAACAACUCAGUUGUGUUGUAAUCCAAAAUACUGCUGUAUUCCCUUGUGUGUAUAAAUAACUGUAUCUGGUUAUCCACACUGUGCUUUGCGUACAAUUGUAUUUUCCUUUGUGUAUGUGUGUGUUCAUCUAUGCAUAUGUGCAUGUGUGUGUAUGUGGAGGCAGAGGAUUACCUAGGGUGUCACUCUUCGGCCACCAGCCACCUUUUUAUGAGACAGGGUUCUCUCACUGGCUUGAAACUGGCUAGCAUGCUAGGCUGGACCGGAACUGCAGGGCUCUCCUGUCUCUGCCUCCCCAGCUCUAGGGCUACAAGCCGGCGCUACCAUGUUCUUUUUCUUUUUGCACAGGUUCUGGGGAUCAAACUCAAUUCCUCAUUCGUGCAACAUGCUUUCCCUACUGGGCUGUCCCUGCCACCCCCUAAUGAAGUUUCUUGUAAAUGUGAACUUUGAGGAGAAGGGUCGGAAGGUGUGGAAGGGAUUGGAUCCCCUGCAUGUCCUGUAACAAUAUCCUGAGUGAGUUUAUGCAUCUCUGUGUCUCCAUCUCCUGUUCAGCCGUGAUUGACAUUAGGGUCACUAGCUAAUAAUCUGGGCUAACCUGGGACAGCGAAGGAUUUCUGGCCUGGAUUUCCAGCCCUCUCGAGAUUUCAUGACCACUCCCACCUUCAGUUUUCUUGAUCUAAAAACUCUUGUCAGUGAGUCAGUCAACCACCAGACACGUUUCUUGUGGUAAACCUUGAGACUCGAUUACAUCUUUGUUGAAGUAGUACAUCGGUACAACUAUCAAUGAAUGUAAAUGUGUGAGUGUAAAAUAAAGCUGUGUAAAUG